GACGAACGCUGGCGGCGUGCUUAACACAUGCAAGUCGAACGGAAAGGCCCUGCUUUUGUGGGGUGCUCGAGUGGCGAACGGGUGAGUAACACUUGAGUAACCUGCCCUUGACUUUGGGAUAACUUCAGGAAACUGGGGCUAAUAGCGGAUAGGAGCUCCCGCUGCAUGGUGGGGGUUGGAAAGUUUCGGCGGUUGGGGUUGGACUCGCGGCUUAUCAGCUUGUUGGUUGGGUAGUGGCUUACCAAGGCUUUGAGGGGUAGCCGGCCUGGGAGGGGGACCGGACACACUGGGACUGAGAUACGGCCCAGCCUCCUACGGGAGGCAGCGGUGGGGAGUAUUGCACAGUGGGCGGAAGCCUGAUGUAGCAAAGCAGCGUGCGGGGUGAGGGGCAUCGGGUUGUAAACCGCUUUCGCCUGUGACGAAGCGUGAGUGACGGUAAUGGGUAAAGAAGCACCGGCUAACUACGUG
rnacentral:rRNA from 1 species